AGGGUUUGAUUCUGGCUCAGGACGAACGCUGGCGGCGUGCCUAAUACAUGCAAGUCGUACGCUUCUUUUUCCACCGGAGCUUGCUCCACCGGAAAAAGAAGAGUGGCGAACGGGUGAGUAACACGUGGGUAACCUGCCCAUCAGAAGGGGAUAACACUUGGAAACAGGUGCUAAUACCGUAUAACAAUCGAAACCGCAUGGUUUUGAUUUGAAAGGCGCUUUCGGGUGUCGCUGAUGGAUGGACCCGCGGUGCAUUAGCUAGUUGGUGAGGUAACGGCUCACCAAGGCCACGAUGCAUAGCCGACCUGAGAGGGUGAUCGGCCACAUUGGGACUGAGACACGGCCCAA
rnacentral:rRNA from 1 species